AACUGUUUUCCACUGAGAAAGCAGGAUAAACAGGGGGUGCAGUCUUUAAAACUGCUCUCAGAGAAGCUUCCAGUGGAACCAAAGGAAUACAGAUGGAGGGCCUGGGGAGAGAUGGCCUGAGGGGACCUGCAGAAGGGAUUUACCUGCUGCCCCUCCCCCAGGGGAGCCAGGAGACUGAGCUGGGCUGUAAACACUCCGUGCCUGGUGCAGCCUGGUCUGCACAGGCUGAGAGGAUGCUCUACUUCUAAACCCCAUAAGGAAAAGGCCCAGGAGGGACGGGUGAGCUUGCUCGUGCGGAAUGGAAGGCCUUGGUGACCUCAGUCCCCAAUUCCUGUGUCGCUCACCAGCACUGACUUUAUUGUCUUCUCGGGGGCUCUGAUCACCCGAGCUAUGUUGGCCUGGGCCUGGAAAACUCCCUCAUCUCUCUUGUGGGGAGUUCAGCUGAGAUGAGGUUGGUUCAGCUGGUUGUGCUGGUACCAAGAAGAUACAACCACAGGGGAUGACAGUCCAUUAAUGGGGUGGCCUUAAACUUUGGGAACUCUAGCCAAGUUACCGAGGUUAAGGGACUGUUUACUGGGGUACAUAUGAUGGUAUCAAUAUUGACUCUGCUUUUAAUUUAAAAAUCUCCUCUUUUUCUCUAGGGAUGUUGCUGCUGAUAGCUAAAAAUGAUCAAAUUCUUACCAUAUGCCAGACCUUAUGCUGGACAAUUCACUGACAUUAUCCCACGUAGUAGGCAGAAUUCUAACGUGACCCCCAAGAUUCUCCACCUUCUGUGUAAUCCCCAGGAUUGUGAAUGUGAUGGAUUUCAUUCUGGUAAACAGGUUUUGUUAUAUGGCACAGAUGACUUUAAGACAGGGAGGCUUUAAAUCUGUGACUAGCAGAAGACAUAUGGAAGGCAGAGAUUCAAAAUAUAAGAGGGAUCUGACGCACCACUACUGGCUUGAAAAUGGAGGGGACCACAUGGCAGAGGACGCACGCAGCCUCUAGUUGCUGAGGGUGGUCUCCAGUUGACAGCGGCAAGGUAACAGGGGCCUCAGUCCUACAACCACAAGGAACUGAACUCUGCCAACAUACUGAAAGAGCUUGAAGGAGGAGCAUAAGCCUCAGGGGUGAGAUCAUAGACCCAGACAAAGCCUUGAUUUUAGUUGCCUAAAACCCCGAACUGAGAACCCAGGCAUCUUGAGUGGGACUCCUAACCCACAGAAACUGUGAGAUUAAUAAUUAGUGGCGUUUUAAAAGGGUUAACUUAUGAUAUUUUUAAAAUUAGCAACACAGAAAAUCAUACACCCCAUGUGAUACCCAUCAUAACCCUCUCAAGUAGGCUUCACCAUUUUAUAGACAAGGAAACAAAGACCCAGGGAAAUUAGGAAUUUGCCCAAAGUCACAUAGCCUGUGAGUGGCAGAGACAGGUUUAAACCCAGCUAUGUCUUGACUUUAUGGUCAGUGCUCUUCAUUGCCUCAUGCAUUUCCUCUCUGUAUGAGAAGAGAGCCUCAGACACAUGGUGAAAAGAGUAUGGAACUGUUUCUGUCUGCCUGGGUGUGGAUGUGCAGAAGGGUCAGAGGACCUAUGCUUUUGUUUUGGUUUUAAAUGGUGAAAAGACAUAUACAUAGAAUCAACUAGCUGGAUUCAGUUUAGAUGAUCCCAAUAUGCCUUCUUCUCUCCAUCAGGCCUGAUCAGGGUGUUGGCUUUGGCCACAGCAGUGUCACUGAGCUUCUUCACAGCCUGUUUGAUCUGGUGCUUGUUGGCUUUGACAUCCACAAUGGACACAAGUUGUGUUGUUGUCUUCUAUCUUCUUCAUGGCUGACUCAGUGGUUGGGGGAACCUGAUGAUGAAUUAUUGGUCAAGCUUGUUUCUCCUGGGAGUGCUCUUCCAAGCAUAUUUCUGCUGCCUGCAGAGCCACACUGUCUUGGGCCACUGGCAGGUGGGUGAUGUGUGGAUUGGAUCUUCUUUUUGUGGCUGUGGACACCUUUAAGCACUGCCUUCCUGGCCUUCAAAGCAUUCGCUUUGGCUUCAGCUUUGGGAGGGGCAAGAACUUUUUUCACUUUUGGUGCCAUAAUGUGAAAAUGAGGACCUAUGUUGAGCCCUCACUCCUCUAGAAGCCAGCUGUGUGCCCUCGGCAAAGUCAAUUAAUCACUCUGAGCCUCAGUUUUUAUAAUCUGUAUGAGGCCUACUAAGAAUUUCUGCAUUAUAACCCUUGAAGGGCUGCAGCUGAUGAUCCCAUAAAAGUGUGUGAGGGGCCACUGUGAAUGAAGUCCACAGGGCAGACAGAGGCACCUGGAUGUCAUGUAGAUAUCAUUUUCUUUUCUUGAUGACUGCCAAUUUCAAUGUCCUCUGCCUAUAGGCUGGAUAUGGUCACUCUGAUGGCUUAUUUGGAGGAAGUAAUUUUAAAUAGGUUUUUUUUUUAGAGGAAAUGAUUAUUUAUUACAUUUAUUGAAAAACUACAGAAUAAGAUGGAAGGUAAUUUUUCUUUUUUUCUUGAAU
ensembl:lncRNA novel transcript